AGAGUUUGAUCCUGGCUCAGGACGAACGCUGGCGGCGUGCCUAAUACAUGCAAGUCGAGCGGACAGAUGGGAGCUUGCUCCCUGAUGUUAGCGGCGGACGGGUGAGUAACACGUGGGUAACCUGCCUGUAAGACUGGGAUAACUCCGGGAAACCGGGGCUAAUACCGGAUGUUGUUUGAACCGCAUGGUUCAAACAUAAAAGGUGGCUUCGGCUACCACUUGCAGAUGGACCCGCGGCGCAUUAGCUAGUUGGUGAGGUAAUGGCUCACCAAGGCAACGAUGCGUAGCCGACCUGAGAGGGUGAUCGGCCACACUGGGACUGAGACACGGCCCAGACUCCUACGGGAGGCAGCAGUAGGGAAUCUUCCGCAAUGGACGAAAGUCUGACGGAGCAACGCCGCGUGAGUGAUGAAGGUUUUCGGAUCGUAAAGCUCUGUUGUUAGGGAAGAACAAGUGCCGUUCGAAUAGGGCGGUACCUUGACGGUGCCUAACCAGAAAGCCACGGCUAACUACGUGCCAGCAGCCGCGGUAAUACGUAGGUGGCAAGCGUUGUCCGGAAUUAUUGGGCGUAAAGGGCUCGCAGGCGGUUUCUUAAGUCUGAUGUGAAAGCCCCCGGCUCAACCGGGGAGGGUCAUUGGAAACUGGGGAACUUGAGUGCAGAAGAGGAGAGUGGAAUUCCACGUGUAGCGGUGAAAUGCGUAGAGAUGUGGAGGAACAUCAGUGGCGAAGGCGACUCUCUGGUCUGUAACUGACGCUGAGGAGCGAAAGCGUGGGGAGCGAACAGGAUUAGAUACCCUGGUAGUCCACGCCGUAAACGAUGAGUGCUAAGUGUUAGGGGGUUUCCGCCCCUUAGUGCUGCAGCUAACGCAUUAAGCACUCCGCCUGGGGAGUACGGUCGCAAGACUGAAACUCAAAGGAAUUGACGGGGGCCCGCACAAGCGGUGGAGCAUGUGGUUUAAUUCGAAGCAACGCGAAGAACCUUACCAGGUCUUGACAUCCUCUGACAAUCCUAGAGAUAGGACGUCCCCUUCGGGGGCAGAGUGACAGGUGGUGCAUGGUUGUCGUCAGCUCGUGUCGUGAGAUGUUGGGUUAAGUCCCGCAACGAGCGCAACCCUUGAUCUUAGUUGCCAGCAUUCAGUUGGGCACUCUAAGGUGACUGCCGGUGACAAACCGGAGGAAGGUGGGGAUGACGUCAAAUCAUCAUGCCCCUUAUGACCUGGGCUACACACGUGCUACAAUGGACAGAACAAAGGGCAGCGAAACCGCGAGGUUAAGCCAACC
rnacentral:rRNA from 1 species